ACGGGGUAGGAAUACGUAGGUAACGUACCCUCAGGACGGGGAUAGCCACGGGAAACUGUGGGUAAUACCCGAUGAUCUGGUCUGGAUUGAUUUCCGGAUCAGCAAAGGUGAGAUUCCACCUGAGGAGCGGCUUACGCGAUAUUAGCUUGUUGGUGAGGUAACGGCUCACCAAGGCUGCGAUAUCUAGGGGGUGUGAGAGCAUGGCCCCCACCACUGGGACUGAGAUACUGCCCAGACACCUACGGGUGGCUGCAGUCGAGAAUCUUCGGCAAUGGGCGAAAGCCUGACCGAGCGACGCCGCGUGCGGGACGAAGGCCUUCGGGUUGUAAACCGCUGUCGGGAGGGAUGAAGUGCACGGGGGCUAUCCCCUGUGUUUGACAGAGCUCCGGAGGAAGCACGGGCUAAGUUCGUGCCAGCAGCCGCGGUAAUACGAACUGUGCGAACGUUAUUCGGAAUCACUGGGCUUAAAGGGUGCGUAGGCGGCGCUGUAAGUCAGGAGUGAAAUCCCCCGGCUCAACCGGGGAAUUGCGCUUGAAACUGCAGUGCUUGAGUGAGGUAGGGGUGCAUGGAACUUCCGGUGGAGCGGUGA
rnacentral:rRNA from 1 species